GCCGGAGUGGCGGAAUGGCAGACGCAGCGGAUUCAAAACCCGCCGCCUGCAAAGGCGUGAGGGUUCAAGUCCCUCCUCCGGCA
rnacentral:tRNA from 1 species